CCUACGGGUGGCAGCAGUGGGGAAUAUUGCACAAUGGGGGAAACCCUGAUGCAGCGACGCCGCGUGAGUGAAGAAGUAUUUCGGUAUGUACAGCUCUAUCAGCAGGGAAGAAAAUGACGGUACCUGAUUAAGAAGCCCCGGCUAACUACGUGCCAGCAGCCGCGGUAAUACGUAGGGGGCAAGCGUUAUCCGGAUUUACUGGGUGUAAAGGGAGCGUAGACGGCAGUGCAAGUCUGAAGUGAAAUCCCGCGGCUCAACCCCGGAACUGCUUUGGAAACUGUGGAGCUGGAGUGCAGGAGAGGUAAGCGGAAUGCCUAGUGUAGCGGUGAAAUGCGUAGAUAUUAGGAGGAACACCAGCGGCGAAGGCGGCUUACUGGACAGUAACUGACGUUGAGGCUCGAAAGCGUGGGGAGCAAACAGGAUUAGAUACCCGAGUAGUC
rnacentral:rRNA from 1 species